rnacentral:lncRNA from 1 species
UGCUGUGACAGAUCAUGAGAUACACUGUGUUGCUCACCUCUUGCUGCUCACUGCUGCUGACCCUACCACUGAAGUUACUUGGAUGAAUAACUUCAGGUAGAUGACACUUUGGAAAACUGAGGAUAGACCACUAACGGCAGAGAUCUCUGCCAAGUGCCCACCUUGCAGGCUUGCCUCCUUUCAGAUUAUAAGUGUUGACAUUCCCUGCACAAAUCUGAACUCUUUGUGUUCUUCAUUUGAUAUCCUGUUCAUUUCCUGGUCUGAGAAAGAGAACACCGAGCAGAAUGGCAAACUGCGUCACUAGGCAGGGUGAUGCUGCCCAGACCUUUUCUUGCCAGGCCUGAAACUGCUCCCAAUUGCAAUAACAAGAGCUAGUUUGUGAGGCAGCGGGUCCCACUAAUGGGGUAAGAUCAGUAUAUUUCACGUGGCCCGGAACCACUGACUUUUAAGUCAAGAAUUAUGCUUAAAUAAGUUAAUAGAAAAAAAAUCAUAGCCUGCUUUGCCCCCCCCAAUUCUGCUUUCAUGUGUGUAAGAUUAAACACCUCCUUCUUCACUGUUUUAGCUCUUCCCUGACUUCCCCUGGCUUUAUCCCCACCUCCUGUAGCUGUCCUCUCCCCCUUGGCCAAGCAGCGGCUCCUCUGACCUGGCCAGACCACCUCUUUCACUCAGAGGAGAAUGGCAGGGAAUGGGAACAGCCUUGGCUCUGCCUCUGCCACCUCUGCUCCGAGCUCCCCUGGCCCAGCAAAGUGGGUCAGACCCCGUGUGGCAGAGCCCUGGCUUCCAGAACCCAGGUGAAGUACCUUCACCCGUCAGCGAGUUAAUAGUUCUUCUGCAGAGCUGCUUUGUACCCAUCAGUCUGAAAACUUGAAGGAUAAAAAAGGCUGCAGUCCACUGUGGGAAAGGGGAAGGUUUUGACUUUGCUUUGUCAGAUUUAUUUCUAGGCUCAUGACUUCACAAGAAAAAAAUCCAUAGAAAUUGCAUCGUUCCGAUUCCCAUCACACCCUUUUCUUCCUUCUCUGUCUCGAUCUUAUAGGCUGCUAUUUUAAAAACUGUUUGCAGUUGAAAAUAAUGCUGUGCAUCACUGAGAGGGCUGGAAUGCUGCCUUCCCCAGGGGAAAGCACUUGCCCUCCCAUCCCUGCGGGAUGGGGCAGCAUUCAGCCACAUGUCUCUGAGCAGCUCUUCUGCCUCCUGCUCAGUGCUCCCUUUGCUCGGUCUCCUUCCUCAUGCUCUCUGGACAAGGUAAUUCUCAACCAGAGCAGGGCAAUGUGCCUCCAGAUACACUGGUGUGUCCGUGUGCAGGGCCUUUAAAGAGCUGGGGUAUACGGGAGCGUGGCGGUUAAACGCUGAUGUGUGCAUUAAGUUGUUGUGGUCUAUUUUUAGCAGUUGUGGCCUCUGUGUAUUACAACCCGAAGUCACCUCCCUGUUUAUAGUCACAAAAAAGCAACUAAAAAAAUACAUUAAUCAGACCUGCAGACUGGCCAAAAAGGAAUCUUGUCUCGGUAUUUGUAGAACAAACAAACAUUAGCAACCAUAGGAGUGUCUUUGUGUUCUCUUUGGUUAAACGUGGACCUCCUCUGCUGCUGACCCGUUGGCUGAGCAGUAGAGGUCCCAGCGUUUGUGCUGUGAGCAGUUGUCACCAACACCUGGGGUUCUUUAGGACAGUGCCACAAAGCUAUGAUGGCCAUUAGGAAGUAGGAGGCCAGGUUUUGCACUUAGUGAUUGAGGCCUGACCCUUUGUUUGACUUAAAUCAUAGUUACUGCAGCAUACCUGUGCUGAGAUGAGCUCCCUAAGCAUAGCUGCUCCUGGUGUGCACCAGUGAGAGUCAGAAGAGCACCAGACUGCUCAUGCUCUCUUUUCUUGUCUGGUCUGAAAAAAAGCCCAAAUCUGCAUAUCCCUCUGGCUAGUGCAGUGCUGGGGUUUCUCAUCUCACACAGUUGGCUUUGUUGGCUUUGCGCUCUGCUCUGAAUGCAGAGGAGCCCUUCUUUCACGUUUGCUAUCUGAUUUCAUGUUUCCUCGUGCCCAAUCUGUCUGACUGCCUUUGCUUUUCUCAGAAUGGCUCCAAUCGCCCCUUUUUGCCAUCUCAGAGGAAAGGCACAAUUGCAUUAUUGUACUGUGUGAAUGCGUUUUCUCCUGUGUGUAGCUGAAUGGGAUAUUAUUUAAAUAUCUUAAGCAUGCUCCUAGUUGGAGUAAUGACAUGCUAGGAAUGGCAGAGUGAGGAGUAUUCACAUUCAAACUCCUGAAUUUUGGUGAACGAGUAAUCAAAGCUCCAUCACUUCCUACACAGUUCAACAUUUCGUUAAGCAAACGGUUACCAUAAAAACACCAUCUGACCACAUUAAAACAAAUAAACAGAAACCCCCAAAUGGUUAUUUAUGGUGAUCUUCAGGUCACGUGAAAUCUUUGCUGAGCCCUUUGCAAAGGAGAAGCUGACUUGAGGUGCUGAAGGCCAACCAGUGCCCGCUCCUGAACCAGCCACCCUGCUUCAGCUCACCUCAUGCUACCCUGGACCGGGCAUCAGUGCCAGCACCCGAGAGCCCACGCUCCGUGGCAGAUCAGGGGGAUGAUCUGCAAUAAAAAAUGACCUGGUAAGAUACGUUUCCUUGUUUCUGUGCGUGCGUGCUCAAAAGCGGGCUCGGUUUCACUGCGUGAUCCAUGGAAAAGCUGUACCAAGGUCAGUGCUGGAGCACAGGCAGGCAGCAGCAAGGGGUGAAAUGGAGCAUCCCUGGGAGCCAGGAGGGAAAACAACACUCACUGAUAUUACUGCCCAUGAUACUGACUUCUGAAGCCGCUGCCUUAGAGCAAAGCAGCUCAGUUAGUGCCUGGAGUCUGGUCCUUAGUGAGGCUGUUCCUACUAUUUACAUCUUUUUGCUUACAGCUUUAUUCUCAGCAACAGGUUAGUCAUUCCCUUGGCAAGUUUAUUGCUAUAAAUUUGCUUAUAUGCAGUUAUUCAAAAGUCAGCGUGUCAUGCUUUAAUUUAAUCUAAUCUCUUUGUUUAAACGAGAAACCCUGACCUUUUAUCAUCACAGUCACUAUAAUUACAACAACACUUUAACUAAAAAAGCCUUCAACUAAGUUUACAUUUAACUCAGUCAUUGUUUGUUUCCUGCAAAAUGUUUCUGUAAUUAAUUUCAUUGGGUUUGACCUGAAGCCUAUGGAGGUGAAUGCAGAGACUUUCAUCAUCCUGAACAGGCUGCAGAUCAGACAGCCCAUGACUGCUCGAAGAGGCAAGGGUAAAGGACUUGAAAUGGAAACCACCUGGUUUGCUGUGUGUUUUUGGAGGGUUUUUUUCACAUAGCAGCAUCAAACUAAUGGCAGUGCUGCAGAGGUGGAAACUCGUGUAGACACAGCCCUGGAAAGCAGAAGUUUACACUCUAUUUCCAAUAAGAGUACUAUGCCAACCAUAGAGCAAGCUGCACUGUGUUACACUCAGACACCCUCCAAGAUACAACGAGAGACAGAAGGGGAGGUCUGUGGCAGAACUGGGACUAAAAUGCAGAUAAUAUGUACUGUGCCCAAACCGAGGGCUCGUCUGUCCUCAGGCUGACUGCAGUGAACUGCUGCCCAUCCCAGCACACGCCAAGAGCCCAGACGUAACCACUUCGUACAUUCCCAGUCUCCAGCAACCAGCAGCUCUGGGAUGGAACUGUGUAAAGAUUGCUAGGACAAGCCGAAUGAAAAAGGAACCAAGUGUGCCUGGAAAAUGAAUGGCUAGGAUUCACCAGAAUGAGCUGGAUGAAAAGAGAGGUAAAAAUGCACCACCCUGACGGCCUUAUGAUGGUGACUGAAGGCACAGUUGGACAGAAGCAUUUCCUCUAGGAGACAAAAUUUUCCCUUCCUUCCUCGAGACCUUCAAGUGACCCUACUGAAUUGUUAAAAUCCCAUUAGAAAGUGGUUGGUGGGAACAUGUGCAAUAAAUAGCUGCUAAAAUCAAAGGCAGCCUUGCUGAUACAAAAUCAAUGCGUUGCUGGUGGUGCAGGCAGUGUUCUUCUCUGGGAAAUGCAACAGC